GUUUCCGUAGUGUAGUGGUUAUCACUUCCGCCUAACACGCGGAAGGUCGCCGAUUCAAGCCCGGCCGGAAACA
rnacentral:tRNA from 1 species